rnacentral:rRNA from 1 species
UACGUAGGGCGCAAGCGUUAUCCGGAAUUAUUGGGCGUAAAGAGCUCGUAGGCGGUUUGUCGCGUCUGCUGUGAAAACUGGAGGCUCAACCUCCAGCCUGCAGUGGGUACGGGCAGACUAGAGUGCGGUAGGGGAGAUUGGAAUUCCUGGUGUAGCGGUGGAAUGCGUAGAUAUCGUAAGGAAGACCAGUGGCGAAGGCGAAUCUCUGGACAGUUACUGACACUGAGGCACGAAGGCCAGGGGAGCAAACGGG